rnacentral:tRNA from 1 species
CAAAACGAUACACAAUAGGAUCAAAAUUUACCUUUUGGGGUUGGAUUACUAAAUUUUAGUUUAUC